rnacentral:rRNA from 1 species
UGUUUAAAUCAUGCCAUCGUACGGCCCUGAUCUUGUCUGAAUUUGGAAGCUAAGAAGUGUCUGGCCUGGUCAGUAUUUCAAUGGGAGAUCACAAGAAACAUAACGGAUCUCCACAA